rnacentral:rRNA from 1 species
UACAGAGGUCCCAAGCGUUGUUCGGAUUCACUGGGCGUAAAGGGUGCGUAGGUGGUUAGGUAAGUCCGAUGUGAAAUCUCCAGGCUCAACCUGGAAAUGGCAUUGGAUACUAUCUAGCUUGAGGAGUGGAGGGGGGACUGGAAUUCUCGGUGUAGCAGUGAAAUGCGUAGAUAUCGAGAGGAACACCAGUGGCGAAGGCGGCCAACUGGACGAAGACUGACGCUGAGACACGAAAGCGUGGGGAGCAAACAGG